GGGGGUGUAAUAGAUUCGACGGGUGUCUGUUACUACUGGGGAGCAGGUACUGGUUGGCCAGGCCAGUUAAAAUAGGGCUACCAAAAUAACUAACAACAGCAAUGUUGCUUGGGCUAACGCUUAGUCCACGGCCGCUCGGAUGCUUUUCACACAUCUGAGCAAGGCUGUCAUCAUGUGAAAUGCGGUGCGUGUAGCGCGUUUCGUCUUACGCACUUAAGUCUAACGGAACAACUCUCUUCGUUGCUGCCGCACGCUUACGGGGGGAGUAUUAAGUGCGGAUAAACCUGUAGGGCCUAAGCGGUUAAGAUGUUCGGACGGGGGUGCGAAUCCCCCCACCUC
rnacentral:tmRNA from 1 species